UACACUCUGACAUAUGAAGUGCUCUAGUCAAGUUUAACUGGUGUCCACAGAGGACAUGGUUUAACUGGAAUUCGUCAAGCCUCUGGUUCUAAUUUCUCAUUUGCAGGAAAUGCUGGCAUAGAGCAGCACUAAAUGACACCACUAAAGAAACGAUCAGACAGAUCUGGAAUGUGAAGCGUUAUAGAAGAUAACUGGCCUCAUUUCUUCAAAAUAUCAAGUGUUGGGAAAGAAAAAAGGAAGUGGAAUGGGUAACUCUUCUUGAUUAAAAGUUAUGUAAUAACCAAAUGCAAUGUGAAAUAUUUUACUGGACUCUAUUUUGAAAAACCAUCUGUAAAAGACUGAGGUGGGGGUGGGAGGCCAGCACGGUGGUGAGGCAGUUGAGAAAAUUUGAAUGUGGAUUAGAUUUUGAAUGAUAUUGGAUAAUUAUUGGUAAUUUUAUGAGCUGUGAGAAGGGUGUUGUAGUUUAUAAAAGACUGUCUUAAUUUGCAUACUUAAGCAUUUAGGAAUGAAGUGUUAGAGUGUCUUAAAAUGUUUCAAAUGGUUUAACAAAAUGUAUGUGAGGCGUAUGUGGCAAAAUGUUACAGAAUCUAACUGGUGGACAUGGCUGUUCAUUGUAC
rnacentral:lncRNA from 1 species